UGGCUUUGCAUCCUUUCUCUCCAGCCUGCCCAGGUCUCGCUGAAUGGCAGCACAGCCUUCUGGCGUGUCGGCCACUCCUCCCAGCUUUGUAUCAUUGGCGUACUUGCUGAGGGUGGGCACUAUUCCCUCAUCAGGGUCAUCAAUGAAGAUGUUGAACAUGACCGGACCCAGCACUGACCCCUGGGGAACGCCGCUAGUCACAGGUCUCCAGCCGGACUCUGCGCUGCUGAUCACCACCCUCUGAGCUCAGCCAGUCAGCCAGUUCUCAACCCACCUUACUGUCCACUCA